rnacentral:rRNA from 1 species
AUUGAACGCUGGCGGCAUGCCUUACACAUGCAAGUCGAACGGUAACAGGUCUUCGGAUGCUGACGAGUGGCGAACGGGUGAGUAAUACAUCGGAACGUGCCCGAUCGUGGGGGAUAACGAGGCGAAAGCUUUGCUAAUACCGCAUACGAUCUACGGAUGAAAGCGGGGGAUCUUCGGACCUCGCGCGGACGGAGCGGCCGAUGGCAGAUUAGGUAGUUGGUGGGAUAAAAGCUUACCAAGCCGACGAUCUGUAGCUGGUCUGAGAGGAUGAUCAGCCACACUGGGACUGAGACACGGCCCAGACUCCUACGGGAGGCAGCAGCGGGGAAUUUUGGACAAUGGGCGAAAGCCUGAUCCAGCCAUGCCGCGUGCAGGAUGAAGGCCUUCGGGUUGUAAACUGCUUUUGUACGGAACGAAAAGCCUCUUUCUAAUAAAGAGGGGUCAUGACGGUACCGGAAGAAUAAGCACCGGCUAACUACGUG